rnacentral:rRNA from 1 species
CGGACGGGUGAGUAAUAUCUGGGAAACUGCCCGAUGGAGGGGGAUAACUACUGGAAACGGUAGCUAAUACCGCAUAACGUCGCAAGACCAAAGAGGGGGACCUUCGGGCCUCUUGCCAUCGGAUGUGCCCAGAUGGGAUUAGCUAGUAGGUGGGGUAACGGCUCACCUAGGCGACGAUCCCUAGCUGGUCUGAGAGGAUGACCAGCCACACUGGAACUGAGACACGGUCCAG